rnacentral:miRNA from 1 species
CGCUGCGCUCCUCAGGCUUCGGGUUCCUUUUGCUGAAGUUGGGAGAGCAAGACUCUCCUGGCUUCAGCGAAAGGAACCUGAAGCCUCCAGAACGCAGCG